ACUCAAAGGAAUUGACGGGGGCCCGCACAAGCAGUGGAGCAUGUGGUUUAAUUCGACGCGACCCGAAGAACCUUACCAGGUCUUGACAUCUAGAUAAUCCUGUAGAGAUACGGGAGUGCCUUCGGGAAAUCUAAGACAGGUGGUGCAUGGUUGUCGUCAGCUCGUGUCGUGAGAUGUUGGGUUAAGUCCCGCAACGAGCGCAACCCUUGAUGUUGGUUGCCAGCAGGUAAUGCUGGGCACUCCAGCGUGACUGCCGUAGAUAAUACGGAGGAAGGUGGGGAUGACGUCAAAUCAUCAUGCCCUAUAUGACCUGGGCUACACACGUGCUACAAUGGGGUGAACAACGGGAAGCGAGCCUGCGAAGGUAAGCGGAACCCUAAAAACACCUCUCAGUUCGGAUUGCAGGCUGCAACUCGCCUGCAUGAAGUCGGAAUUGCUAGUAAUCGCGGAUCAGCAAGCCGCGGUGAAUACGUUCCCGGGCCUUGCACACACCGCCCGU
rnacentral:rRNA from 1 species